CUGCCUACGGGGGGCAGCAGUGAGGAAUAUUGGUCAAUGGCCGAGAGGCUGAACCAGCCAAGUCGCGUGAGGGAUGACGGCCCUACGGGUUGUAAACCUCUUUUGUCGGGGAGCAAGACCCGCCACGAGUGGCGGAGCGAGAGUACCCGAAGAAAAAGCAUCGGCUAACUCCGUGCCAGCAGCCGCGGUAAUACGGAGGAUGCGAGCGUUAUCCGGAUUUAUUGGGUUUAAAGGGUGCGCAGGCGGGCCAGCGAGUCAGCGGUAAAAUCGUGGGGCCCAACCCCAUCCCGCCGGUGAAACUGGCG
rnacentral:rRNA from 1 species